CAGCCGCCGCGGGAAUACGAAGGGGGCUAGCGUUGCUCGGAAUGACUGGGCGUAAAGGGCGCGUAGGCGGCAUAUACAGUCAGGCGUGAAAUUCCCGGGCUUAACCUGGGGGCUGCGUUUGAUACGUAUGGGCUAGAGUGGGGAAGAGGGGGGUAGAAUUCCACGUGUAGCAGUGAAAUGCGUAGAGAUGUGGAGGAAUACCGAUGGCGAAGGCAGCCCCCUGGGCCAAUACUGACGCUCAUGCACGAAAGCGUGGGGAGCAAACAGGAUUAGAUACCCCGUAGUCCCUGUCUCUUAUACC
rnacentral:rRNA from 1 species